rnacentral:lncRNA from 1 species
CUAUCAUGAGUCCUGAUUGAAUUAGGGUUAAGGUGAACUCGUCAAACCCAACAUCAGUCAUAUGAGUUAAUCGAUCGAUCUGAGUCCGAUGUGAAACCUUAAUGAAAAACUCUUUUCCAUUAUUUCACUCUGUCAUGGCCAUGGGCUUAAGGACUCGAUCUUUUAAUUAUCAUAGGACUACUCCUCUCAUCUACCGAGGUUGAUAGAUCCCAUCUUGGUGCGACCUAGUUCCUACAAUGAAUAUGCUACAGCCAACAUACACCUCAGGGUUCUGAAUGGCUAGGAGAUCGAGUUAUGGUGUAGUCAAACUAUAAUAGGCUACGGCAGUGGUUUACAACCGCUACCGUAGCCAAAAAAAUUACUAUCAUAAUCUACGACAGCGAUUCCACAACUGCUGCCACUGUCGUCGUUGCC